rnacentral:misc_RNA from 1 species
CCGAGUUGUCAACACGAGUUGUUGCUGGUCCUCAAAUGGGGGCAUGUGCACGCUCUGUUCACACAUCCACUCACACCUGUGCACCCUCUGUAGUUCUACGGUCUGGGGGAUGUGCCAUCUUCCUCCUGUAGCUCUACGUCUUUACACACACACACACACACCGUGGUUGAGUCUUAUGGAAUGUGCGCAGCGUUUAACGCAAUACAAUA